GGAGGUUGCUGCUAUCGGGAUACGAUUAAGCCAUGCGAGUCUUUCCGCAAGGAAGGCAAACUGCUGAGUAACACGUCGAUAACUUACCCUUUUGUUCGGGAUACCCUCGGGAAACUGAGUAUAAGACCGGAUAGGGAAGGUGCUUUGGAAUAAGCCCUUCUAUAAACGCAAGGCAAAAGGAUAGGACGGCGGCGGAUUAGGUAGUUGGUGAGGUAACGGCUCACCAAGCCCGAGAUCCGUAGGGGUCCUGAAAGGGAGAGCCCCCAGAAGGGCACUGAGAUACUGGCCCUAGCCCUACGGGGUGCAGCAGGCGCGAAAACUUUCCAAUGCACGCAAGUGUGAGAAGGGAAUCCCGAGUGCUUAUGCAAUGCAAGGCUUUUGCCAAGGGUAAAUACCUUGGAGAAUAAGUGGUGGGCAAUACCUGUGCCAGCCGCCGCGGUAACCCAGGAACCACAAGUGGCAACCGCUUUUAUUGGGCCUAAAGCGUCCGUAGCCGGAUCUGUAAAUCUUCUGUGAAAUCCUCGGGCUUAACCGAGGGCGCGCAGGAGACACUGCAUUUCUAGGGACCGGGAGGCGUGAGGGGUAUUUCGGGGGGAGCGGUAAAAUGUUAUAAUC
rnacentral:rRNA from 1 species